rnacentral:rRNA from 1 species
CUAAACUCGUGCCAGCAGCAGCGGUAAUACGAGUGCCCCAAGCGUUAUCCGGAAUCACUGGGCGUAAAGGGUGUGUAGGUGGUUGUGUUAGUCUUUUGUUAAAUUCUUCGGCUUAACCGGGGACCUGCGAAAGAAACGGCACGACUAGAGGGUGCGAGGGGUGUACGGAACUCAUGGAGUAGGGGUGAAAUCCGUUGAUAUCAUGGGGAACACCAAAAGCGAAGGCAGUACACUGGCGCACUUCCUGACACUGAAACACGAAAGCGUAGGUAGCGAAUGGGAUUAGAUACCCCGGUAGUC